UUUCAGAAGUCAAACUUUGACUGGCUUUAUAUCCAAAUAUGAUUUGAAUUUUAGAAAAAUGAAUGUGAAUUCAUGCUUGAGAGGUCAAAAUUAGUCAAGACGGAAAAAAUGUUAAAAAGUCAAAAUGUUAACUUUCGAAUUGAAAAAGUCAAACUUUGAAUUUGAUUUAAAUGUCAAAUUACCAAACUGCCCUUAGACUAAUUUGUUAAGAUUUGGCAAACUCAUCAUAUGUAAGUGUUGCAUGUGAUUUGUAAGUAGCUUCAUGCAUGUGAAACACCAACUUCACUAAUAGUUAGUGAAAUGUCAAUUGGUGAGAUAAAUAAGCUCUUACAUGUGGUUUGCUCGUAAAGAGGUUUAUUGCAAAUAUGAAUGGUCUCUUGUCUUUUUAACAAGGUGAGAUUUUAUUUUGUAAUUAAGAAUUACAAAAUAAACCAAUAACUCACUUUACCCUCCACACAACAAAAUCUCAAAGCUAGAUUCCUCCUUAAAAUUCCAUCUUUUCUCUCUCUAGUGGUAGUCCUGGCUUCGAGUUCGUGAGCAGAUUGCGAAAAGUUCGUGAGGAGAUCACAAGAAAAUUAAAGUACUAAAGGUCUAUUAAUUCCAGCACCACGGAUGCCACGUUGCCUCCAGUUACAAAUGAGUUCAUGAGUUUCGUGAUGAAUAUUUUUGAGGAGGUGCAAAGUUUUCAAGCCAUUGCAUGACUUCUUGAAGUGUAACUUCAUUUCUUUCCACAGAAGCUUCCACGAACAACAAGCGUCUCUAGGAAGUUCUUGGAGAGAGGAUGGGUGUUUCAUCCGCCUCUUGGUAUUUGAGCAAGUUUCUCUAUUGCCAUCGGGUUAGCACAUCAGAUAGCCAUUUAGCCCAAAAACUUUUUGGCACUUUGAUACCUAUUUGGUGUAAAACCAAAUAGUACUUUUGAUUGAAUGUAUAAUCUGGCUUUCAAAAGGA